GCCGAGGUCCUCUUCUAGGAUUGGUUGUCCACUCAUAACCAUAAGAUAAUUAAAACGGGGGGGGGCAGGGUAAAAAAAAAACCCUUUUAUCAGCCAUAGGUUAAUGCAAGUGUUUAACAGAUGCUUCGCUAUUAAAAUAUUUCCCCCCAAUACUGAAGAAUCUUAAACCAGCAACCCUAACAGAGAUUGCGAAGAUUUUCAAAGUGGGGCACCUCGAUUUCUCGAAUCUGUGGUGUGGCGAAUAUCCGUGUUCCUCCUGCUUAACUAGCCUGUUUGCAUCUUUUGACACAUUUUACUUCCGUAAUUUCGGACUGCCAGAAGGCACAGUUCAUUCUCGAGCAAUUCGUCACCUCCUGGGGGUCUUCUCUUCCCGUCUACAGGAGAGUGUGACUUCAGAAAGAACUUCGGAUUGGCCAAGGCAGGUCUGAUUCUAUUUAUUCUAAAGACAGAGUUGGAGAUGGGCUACCAUUGGUGUUGAUUGAGAUGACAAGCAGUCACCUGAGCCCAUACAGCUGUGGGAGAAAGUGCUUGCUGCCAAGCUUGAUGACCUAAAUUGAAUACCUGGAACCUACACGACAGAAAGAGAGAGCUGACUGCUGAAAGAUGUCCUCAGAUCUUCACAUGUGCACAGUGGCACCUAUCCAACCAUGCACAUAGUAUAUUAAAAAUUAUUUUUUAAAAAA
rnacentral:lncRNA from 1 species